UGGCCGGCGGGAGAAACAGAUGCAGCAGUUGAAAAAAGGACUGAAGGAUACUGGAGUUUUGCGCAUGGUUAAAGAACGACCUUCUCUCAUUGAAGUCCUAUUUAAACGAUCAUCUUCCCUGACAAUUGUUGCGCAGAUGAUCCUGGAAAAAGUAAUAUGGCCAAACCCUGACAGUGAUGAUGAGGAGAACUUCAAUCUGGAAACAUGCUGCAGAAUCACAUCCUAUUUACGGCAAUACAUUGAACAAGGUACACCACAAGAGCUGAAAAAUCUUGUUGAGUUUUGGGUUGGCUGGACAAGCCUACCACAGGAACUGUACGUGGAAGUGUCACCUGACGUCAGAAUGCCAACUGCCUCAACAUGCAGGGAGACACUUAAAAUCCCACUGCAUUACAGUGAUUAUGAAGAAUUCUGCGCUGAUCUAAAUGCAGCUGUGUCCAGCAACAGCUUUGGUUUUGGUUUAGUUUAAAAUGAAUAUUUCGUAAACCCUCAUGUUGUCUUAGGGUUCUG